UGGACCAAUGAUGAGAGAAUCAUCGAUCAAGGAUUAUGAUGAAUCCAAUACUGUGCAACUGAGGUCCAAU
rnacentral:snoRNA from 1 species